rnacentral:rRNA from 1 species
CCUACGGGGGGCAGCAGUAAGGAAUAUUGGUCAAUGGACGAAAGUCUGAACCAGCCAUCCCGCGUGCAGGAUGAAAGCCCUAUGGGUUGUAAACUGCUUUUAGCAGAGAAGAAAAGCUUUCAUUAAUGAGAGUCUGACGGUAUCUGCAGAAUAAGCACCGGCUAACUCCGUGCCAGCAGCCGCGGUAAUACGGAGGGUGCGAGCGUUACUCGGUGUUACUGGGUUUUAGGGGGGGGUAGGCGGAGGUGUAGAAAUCUUGUCGCUUAACGGUAAAAUUGCCAAUGAUACUGGUACUCUUGAAUUGGGUUGAGGUUAGCGGAAUGUGACAUGUAGCGGUGAAAUGCAUAGAUAUGUCAUGGAACACCAAUUGCGAAGGCAGCUAACUGGGCCUUGAUUGACGCUGAGGCACGAAAGCGUGGGUAGCGAACAGGAUUAGAUACCCGAGUAGUC